GACGAACGCUGGCGGCGUGCUUAACACAUGCAAGUCGAACGAUGAAGCCCUUCGGGGUGGAUUAGUGGCGAACGGGUGAGUAACACGUGGGCAAUCUGCCCUGUACUUUGGGAUAAGCCUGGGAAACUGGGUCUAAUACCGAAUAUGACAUGUCGCCGCAUGGUGGUGUGUGGAAAGUUUUUAUGGUACAGGAUGAGCCCGCGGCCUAUCAGCUUGUUGGUGGGGUAAUGGCCUACCAAGGCGACGACGGGUAGCCGGCCUGAGAGGGCGACCGGCCACACUGGGGACUGAGACACGGCCCAGACUCCUACGGGAGGCAGCAGUGGGGAAUCUUGCACAAUGGGGCGAAAGCCUGAUGCAGCGACGCCGCGUGAGGGAUGACGGCCUCGGUUGUAACGUCUUACGU
rnacentral:rRNA from 1 species